ACGUGGGGGGCAACCUUUUGCCUCGUGGGAAUGCUCCAGCUGGGGAGAUUGGCUAGCUUCGGGCUGAGGUUUGGGGAAGCCUGGCCCAGCAUCCCUAAGGCUUCUCAUCUCAUCCUUCCCAAUAUAUUCUGCCCCUUCCAAGAUAAUACAAUGAUUUCACCCCCCAAACUCACCUUUGUUUUUGAAGGAAGGUGGAUGAGUUUCAAAUCCCUUUCCCUCUCCAGGACUGAAGGUUGUUUAUUUUUCCUUUCCCCUCCACCCCCACCCCUCUUGCAUGCAAAGAUAAAUAUUCAAUUUACAUAAGAUGACAUUUAUGUGACAAUUAAGGAGAUUCCCCGAUGGAAUGUUGUGAACACAUUUGCUUAUAGGAGAAAUAAAUCUAAUAAUAAACAAACUCAGAACAGCUCAAAUCCUCUGACAGGGAGGUUGUCUCUGCAACAAAGAGGGGCAUGAGGGACUCUGAAAGCUCUCUGUGCAACAAGAAAGAGAUGAACCCAAAGGAAGCCACCAGCAGAAUUUCUUUUCUUUGGCCUUCAUUCACAAAGUUUGAAGAGGCUUGCCUGGCAAGAGGAGGGACUGGCUCACCAUCACCUCACAGUUAGCCCUGGCUUUGGUUUUCAAUGGUCCACUGAGAUUUUCCCAGGCCAAGGUCAAUGUCUGCUAACAGGUGUUGCAGGCAGGGAGUGCCCAACAGAGUGGUUAAUGGCUUCUAAUCCUGGCUUUCCUUUUCAGAAGGCUGAAGCGGGCCAGUGACUACAUCUCUCUGGGUCUGUGUUCACCUUGGUGAGCCGAAAACUCCAGAGACACCUGUGGACACACCAGCUUGAACCCAGAGCUUUGCCUGUGCUAGGCAAGAGAGGACAAUGCUCUCAGUCUUCCCCCUGAGGAUACAUUGCAAGAACUCCAGCGUGCACAGAAAGAGAACCAAGAGUGGAACUGGUAUGUGCAGUGCCUGCGGGGGCCAGAAGAAGGCAUCAGACCUAAGAGGGACAGUUUUAAGUUGGAGCGUCUGAGAAGAUGGCAGAACUUACUUCAAGGGCUGCAGGAUGGUGGCUCACACCUACUAUCCUACCACCUAGGGGGAGCCGAUGGAGGAGAAUCGGGAGUUCAAGGUCAUCCUGGACUACAUAGCAAAUUUGAGGUCAGCCUGGACGGCCGAAGGUCCUGGAUUCAACUCUCAGCAUUGCAAAAAUAAUAAAGAUCUUAUACCCGAGAGGAGUCCAUAGGAUCAGAGUCCUUGAGUACAAGGCACAGACAAGGUUAAGAGGCUAACAGGCCACUUGGCUGUCACAUGGAGAGCAGACUGCCAGCUCAAGGCUGAAGCAGGAAGAGCAUUUAGGAUGGAAGAUGGUACCGUGCACCUGAGUGGUAGCCGUGAGGAUGGGUGAAGUGGGCGUGCACCGUAUGUAUAUUCUAACAGAAUUUGCUGAUUCUGUUAAAGAAAGAGAAAGAGUUAGGGUUGGGGAUUUAGCUCAGUGGUAGAGCGCUUGCCUAGC
rnacentral:sRNA from 1 species